AGGAAGGAUGCCGGACUGCGACCGGGUAGAGGGUGCUGUCUGCCUGGGCCUUAGUCGCCAGGAAUCCCGAUAUCGCCCGAUGAUUCCGGGAGGAAUGACGAGCUGACCUUUUCGGUUCAAACCGAGCUACCAGGACAGUGCCCAGUAGAACGUGCAAGGUGUGAAGAAUAUGGUGCAAAUCUGGAGUCCCAAGACCAGAUAUCAGAACCCAGGUCCAGUCCUCCAGUGUGGUUGCAAGACCGGAAGUUCUCCAGGAAUCCUCAAAGCCUUCAACUGAGAUUUCUGAGGCAUACACCUUCAUGGACUGAAGGGCUAUCAGGUUCUCAUCCUAUCCAGCAUGCAGAUAGCCAUUCUUAGGCUAUCUAGUCUCUACCAUGUAAACCAAUCUAAUAAAUCUCUUUCUAUCAUAUACAUCUGUUCUAUUGGUUCUGUUCCUUUAGAAAUC